CAAUUUGAUUGUGAGGCCUGAAAUAUAAUUGAGAUGAGGUCUAAAAAUACAAUUAAGAAGAGCUUUAAAGUCAGUGAUUAUAAGACUUUAAGGUGGUACCUAACACUACAGGGAGAUAACUCUGUAAAAUCAGCUAAACGUUUUAAUUACGUUGUGUUGUUAAGGGAAUAUUAAGCUUCUCAGUGAUCAAAAUAAGUGUUUGUCAAACUGCUAUGUAACCAGUGUAUUUUUUCUGAUAAAACGGUUGGUUCAAAUUUUUUGAAAUUUUUAUAUUUUUGUAAAAG
rnacentral:lncRNA from 1 species